GACUUAAGCAUAUCAAUAAGCGGAGGAAAAGAAACCAACAGGGAUUGCCUCAGUAACGGCGAGUGAAGCGGCAAGAGCUCAAAUUUGAAAGCUGGCCCCCUCGGGGUCCGCGUUGUAAUUUGCAGAGGAUGCUUCGGGUGCAGCCCCCGUCUAAGUGCCCUGGAACGGGCCGUCAUAGAGGGUGAGAAUCCCGUCUGGGACGGGGUGUCUGCGUCCGUGUGAAGCUCCUUCGACGAGUCGAGUUGUUUGGGAAUGCAGCUCUAAAUGGGUGGUAAAUUUCAUCUAAAGCUAAAUACUGGCCGGAGACCGAUAGCGCACAAGUAGAGUGAUCGAAAGAUGAAAAGCACUUUGAAAAGAGAGUUAAACAGCACGUGAAAUUGUUGAAAGGGAAGCGUUUGCGACCAGACUCGCCCGCGGGGUUCAGCCGGCAUUCGUGCCGGUGUACUUCCCCGUGGGCGGGCCAGCGUCGGUUUGGGCGGCCGGUCAAAGGCCCUCGGAAUGUAUCACCUCUCGGGGUGUCUUAUAGCCGAGGGUGCAAUGCGGCCUGCCCGGACCGAGGAACGCGCUUCGGCUCGGACGCUGGCGUAAUGGUCGUAAAUGACCCGUCUUGAAACACGGACCAAGGAGUCUAACAUCUACGCGAGUGUUCGGGUGUCAAACCCGUACGCGCAGUGAAAGCGAACGGAGGUGGGAGCCCCCUCGCGGGGCGCACCAUCGACCGAUCCUGAUGUCUUCGGAUGGAUUUGAGUACGAGCGUAGCUGUGGGGACCCGAAAGAUGGUGAACUAUGCCUGAAUAGGGCGAAGCCAGAGGAAACUCUGGUGGAGGCUCGCAGCGGUUCUGACGUGCAAAUCGAUCUU
rnacentral:rRNA from 1 species